UGUGAACGCUGGCGGUAGGCCUAACACAUGCAAGUCGAACGGCAGCACAGUAAGAGCUUGCUCUUACGGGUGGCGAGUGGCGGACGGGUGAGGAAUACAUCGGAAUCUACUUUUUCGUGGGGGAUAACGUAGGGAAACUUACGCUAAUACCGCAUACGACCUACGGGUGAAAGCAGGGGAUCUUCGGACCUUGCGCGAUUGAAUGAGCCGAUGUCGGAUUAGCUAGUUGGCGGGGUAAAGGCCCACCAAGGCGACGAUCCGUAGCUGGUCUGAGAGGAUGAUCAGCCACACUGGAACUGAGACACGGUCCAGACUCCUACGGGAGGCAGCAGUGGGGAAUAUUGGACAAUGGGCGCAAGCCUGCUCCAGCCAUACCGCGUGGGUGAAGAAGGCCUUCGGGUUGUAAAGCCCUUUUGUUGGGAAAGAAAAGCAGCAGGUUAAUACCCCGCUGUUCUGACGGUACCCAAAGAAUAAGCACCGGCUAACUUCGUG
rnacentral:rRNA from 1 species